rnacentral:rRNA from 1 species
AUUGAACGCUGUCGGCAGGCUUAACACAUGCAAGUCGAGCGAGCGGCGGACGGGUGAGUCAUUUCUUGGAAACUGCCUGCUGGAUGGGGAUAACUACUGGAAACGGUAGCUAAUCCCGCCUACCAUCAGAUGUGCCCAGAUGGGAUUAGCUAGUAGGUGGGGUAAUGGCUCACCUGGGCGACGAUCCCUAGCUGGUCUGAGAGGAUGACCAGCAACACGGGAACUGAGACACGGUCCAGACUCCGACGGGAGGCAGCAGUGGGGAAGAUGGCACAAUGGGCGCAAGCCUGAUGCAGCCAUGACGCGUGUGUGAAGAAGGCCUUCGGGUUGUAAAGCACGUUCAGCGAGGAGGCGUGACUCGCAGAAGAAGCACCGGCUAACUCCGUGCCAGCAGCGGCGGUAAUUC